UACGGAGGGGGCUAGCGUUGCUCGGAAUUACUGGGCGUAAAGGGCGCGUAGGCGGCACUGUUAGUCAGGCGUGAAAAGUCCUGGGCUCAACCUGGGAACUGCGCUUGAUACGGCAGAGCUAGAGGAUGGAAGAGGGUCGCGGAAUUCCCAGUGUAGAGGUGAAAAUUCGUAGAUAUUGGGAAGAACACCGGUGGCGAAGGCGGCGACCUGGUCCAUUACUGACGCUGAGGCGCGACAGCGUGGGGGAGCAAACAGG
rnacentral:rRNA from 1 species